CCUCACGCAACACCGACAUUACUACCGACUGAGAACACACAGCACUUUUCAGCCAGCCGAUUACUCUUAUGAAAUUCUAUUUCUCUCUUCCUCGUACUUUAUCAUUCACCACUGCAACACCCUGAAUCCUGUGCCUACCAGAAGGGGAGCCUCAUCAUUGUCUUGCUUCAGUUAGGGAACUCUCUGUACCUUGCUUAGAUUUAUUAGAGACUUCUAUUGAGAAUCUCAACCUAAUGUUGUUUGUUGAUGGAUCACACCUCAGAAGUGAAACUGGAGAUUAUCAAACAGGAUAGGAUAUGCUCUCCUUUCGAAUCGAGUCCUCUACCUGAGGUAACAUCAGCCCAGAUGGCAGAAGUCGUUGAGCUUACUAGAGCUUGUCAACUAGCCAACGACCAGAGAGGAAACAGAUAUACAGAUGGCAAGUAAGCUCUUGGAGGAGUGCAUGACUUUGAGAUGCUUUUCUCACCUCUGCUGUAACCACCAUAAAAACGGACAGGAAGUUAAGGAACUUUUAGAUGUCCUCUUCCUUGCUAAAGCGGUGGCUAUUAUAGAGGUUGAGCCCACGUGAAAAGAGAUAAUAUGAAAGCUACAGCAAAUGCUCUAACAGGUCCUUAUGCCAAACAAGCUGCUUUAACCAAAGCUAGGAUCCUAUCUAAAUCCUCAAAGGAUAUAUUGCUGGGGGGAUUCAAAGAGGCCAUUAUAAAAUAUCAACGCAACAAAUACCGACAACAGACAACAAAAGCCGCCAUGUGCUUUUACAGGAAGCACAUGGGAAACAAAAUGACAUAGGAGGUUGAAAAUAAAGGGAUGAAAAACCAUAUGAAGCAAGUAAUAAAAGAAGGUUAAUUGCUAAUAUAUGACGAAGUAAUAUUCUACUACAUCAAAAGGCAAAAAGAAGAAAUAGAAAUAUUUUAUACUUAUUAAAGAAAAAUCAACUACAAACCUAUCUCCUUCAUGAGUAGUCCUACCCUGGUGGGGUGUAGGCUCAUUUCUGAGAAUGUUUUGCUCCAUGUCUGCGUCCUGCUUGGCUUUGGGUCUCUUCGCUUGGCAUUGGGUCUUCCCAGAAAAAAAUCUCUCUUGUGCUUCUCUUGUGUGUAUGUCUCUGUUAUUUUUUCUUGACACUUGUUAGCGUGGUGGUGAGAGAUGCAGGGACAAAGAUGUUUUCUGAUCCUAGGACUGGGCCUCAGUCCUGGCCAAUCCCUGUGCACCUGGCGCUGGGGGCGUGGCCUCACAAAUGGUCUUGCCCCUCCUCCAGACCUAGUGCUGGGCUUUGCUCUAGUCCUGCCCUUCUUCCAGGGGUAGAGCCUUUUUUUUUUCUCAGCUGAUUGCUUCAGCCCCCUCCAGUACAGUUUGUGUUGCUCUUCCUCCUGAAGAUUCAGGCUUUUGCUUCUUAGGGGAGAUAGGUCUUGGUGGAGUUUUAGCAGGGGCUGCCAUUCCCCUCCCCCAGCCAGCCCUCAGCUGAGCACCUGGUGGGGUUCCUGAGAGAAACACACCUGUAAGAGUUUGCAGAACUCCUCUGUGUCUGGGAUUCAUGUUCUUCACAUAGCCCCCACGCAGCCUUUAGGAAUUCCUUGAAAGCUGCUGUCUGAAUCUCCUGUGGACUUCCGUGGUGUCUGGUAGUCCGCCCCAGCCCUUCUUCCUGACUACCCAGGACAGAAAACAACAGCCUGAGGUGCUUCAGGAAUACAAAGAUGAGGCAAAGGCCCUGCCAUCAAAGAGCUCACGGUUUGCAGAAAGAGAAAGGCAAAGGCAGCUAUAAUCCCAAGGGAAAGUUGUAUGGUCCACUAAGUUCUACCACGAAACCUCUCAGAAGUCCAGGAUGCCGAUGACCCAGAGAAGCAUGGGCUCUCUCGGAUGACUGCAGUCUCUGUAAGUCAUAAAGCAAAUGCCUAUUUUCCCUCAAACCCAAAUUUCCCUGCUGCCUUAGCACUAGAACAUCUUUGACUCCUCUUCCCUACUCCUUGGCUCAUUUCUUCACCAGCUUCUAUUCUUUCCUUUUCACCUCCACUGCCCUCAUCUUCAUCAACACCUUCUUCACUUCUUGCCUGGAUUUAUCCUGGAACCUCAUAACUGGUCUUUCUCCCAUUUCUUCUUAAUCCUUUCUCUCAUAUGCACACUUGCCAGGCAAAAACUCCUAAAAUAUUUCAUUCCUUUAGUCUUCUAAACAAUCAAUCUCCGGGUAUGAAAAUGGGAAAUGAGCCAAAUACACGGCGAGCUGUGCUGUUCAGCAUUUGGCCAGUCAGAGCUCUCUACUGCGUUUUAUCUCCACAGAUCUCCUAUAUAGUAAGAAAUGAUGAACA
ensembl:lncRNA